CAUGCUUUUGAUGUCAUAUCUGGACAAUCUUAGUCCCAGAGGUCGAAUCAGAGCUACAGCCGCCGGCCUCCACCACAGCCGCAGAAACCCCAGAUCGAGCCUCGUCGGCAGCCUACACCCCAGCUCACGGCAAUGCCCGACCCUUAACCCACCAAGCGAGGCUGGGGACCGAACCUGCGUCCUCAUGGACCCCGGUGGGUUUCACUGCUGCGGGGCCGCAAUGGGAACGCCCUGAACAAUCUCGUCGUCAGCAAAAGUCGGGACAGACGUUCUCCUGUGUCGUGCUCUGUAAGUGUCAUGGUUCGGGGUUUUGCCUUUGGGUCUGUGAUCCGUUUCGCGGUAAAUUCGGUAUAUCGUGUGAUAUGUGGAUCAGUGUUGUUUUAAGCAGGUGGCUGUCCCUGUCCAGGUGUUGCGACGUCCCCGGGUGAAAUGACUGUCUUUUCCCCGCUAAGUUGCCUUGGUGCCUUGGUCAGAAAUCAGUUAUCCGUGUGGGUGGGUGUCGCUUUUUGGACUCUCCUCCGGGCCGCUGUCUCCGUGUUUAUAUUUAUAGCAACAUCCCACUGUCUUGACCGACUCCAUCACUCUGUGUCUUGAAGUCACGUUUCGUUGGGGCCCCGGCUUUGUUCUUUUCCCAUUUUGCUUUGCCUCUGCUACGUCUUCUGCAUUCCACACCAGUUUUACAAAUGGCUUGUCCGUUUCUAAGACGAAGCCAAACCAAACCCUGCACAGACUUGCCCCCGUCUGCGGAGCUGGCCGUCGUUACGACUGAUACCGUUUCUUCUCCUGCCGGCCGACCUUUCCAGGAGCUUCUCCUGCUUUUCCUGACCUGGUCCCUCCACCGCCGCGUCUGCUCGUUUUCUUGUUGCUCUGCGGCCUCUGCCCGUGGAACAGGGCCCUGGCUCCCUGGGGGGGAAGCCGACGCAGCUAAGAACAAAGAAAUCAAUUGACUUUCUGGAUGAAUUUUUAAAACUCACAGCAGAGGCAACAUUCUGAAAGCACAGCGGAUUUCUUCUGUGAGAGCAGGGCUUUUGGAGAAGGAAAGCGUUCUGAGUGAGAAGGUAGACUUUAUCGCAGAAGCCACGGGGGGGGGAAACCGCACGAGGCUUUUCCUGCUGAGCUGAACGGGGCAGCGAUGGCUUUGGGGGAGGCCGAGAGGGGCGCCGGAGCCCCCUGCCCCGGCACGGUCUGGGCGAGGCCACGUGGAAGCGGCUGG
rnacentral:lncRNA from 9 species